CCUACGGGAGGCAGCAGUAGGGAAUAUUGCUCAAUGGGGGAAACCCUGAAGCAGCAACGCCGCGUGGAGGAUGAAGGUUUUCGGAUUAUAAACUCCUUUUGUUAGAGAAGAUAAUGACGGUAACUAACGAAUAAGCACCGGCCAACUUCGUGCCAGCAGCCGCGGUAAUACGGAGGGUGCAAGCGUUAGUCGGAAUGAAUGGGCGUAAAGGGCGCGUAGGCGGGAUAGCAAGUCAGAUGUGAAAGCCUAUGGCUUAACCGUAGAAGUGCAUUUGAAACUGUUAUUCUAGAGUGUAGAAGAGGUGGGUGGAAUUCUUGGUGUAGGGGUAAAAUCCGUAGAGAUAAAGAGGAAUACUCGUUGCGAAGGCGACCUUCUGGUACGUAACUGACGCUGAUGUGCGAAAGCGUGGGUAGCAAACAGGAUUAGAUACCCGAGUAGUC
rnacentral:rRNA from 1 species